UAAACUCCCUUAAGACCUCCCAGCGUGUGAUCAUAAUUAGCCAUUUAAUUAAUCGAAUUUAGGUGAAGUGGAAGUGACAGCUAGCACAACGCAAUGUGCACACAAAACGCUUGAAAAAGCUUUUCCUGAUUCCUAAACAUUAAUUUCAAGAACUGGUUUUAAUAUAAGGGGUAAAGAAACUGACCCGUAAUCAGAAGGUUGACGGUUUGAAUCCCAAGUCACCAAGGUGCCACUGAGGUGCCACUGACCAAAGUACUGUCCCCACACACUGCACCAUGUGCUGAGCUGCUGUGCUUCACAAUGACAAUCACUUCACUUUCACUAUAGCACACACAUAACCUAUCAGAACAAUAGAUAAAACAAUGAAUAAAAGGUAUACUUUCGAGGCUUUAGGCCUUCAAUUAGCUGUUAAAUUAGAUUUUUUGUUCGGAUGUGAUUCUGACAUAAUCUGCCAUGCUCUUUGGGGAUUGAAGAGUUUCAAUGUUCAAUCAAUGUUGGUGCCACUGCCCCACCUUGUGGCCAAAAGCGGCAUCGUACAAGAAGCACACAAGGUCAGAAUGGGAGAUAAUGAAUAAAUCCUCGUUUUAAUCCAACAAUAAUAACAAAACAACAAAUAUUAUAACUACAAUAAAUCAGAAUAAUUAUUAUUGUUGUUAAUAGUUCAUUGGAUUGCGUGUUAUCAUGACAAAAAUAAGAAACAAAUGAGCAGCUCGAUGGUCUUAAAAUCCUCGUGCCUUAAUUAUUCAAAAUUUUCCAUAUUUACCAUAAUCCCAGCGAAGUUUGAGUUUUGCAAUGCACAUUAGCGUCGUGAUAAAAAUAAAGAAGAUGCAUGGUGACUUUCGCUAUUGGCUGGCCGCGCAAUGACGGUUCCUGUCUUUGGCGAAUGGAAGGUCCCGCUUUACUUCCGUGAUCCAUUGCCAGUCUGCGAAUAUUCAGUCUUCUAAUGUCUUCAUAAAAAACAAAAAUACAAUGAACCUGAUACAGCUUUUUUCAUGUUUAAUUUUGACUCAUGUUAAGCCGAUGCUGAUGCACAAUGAAAGCGAGAAUUACAUACGAAUCCCAUGCAACGCCCAGGCCGAGUAUGGCGUGAAGUACAGAAAGAUUAUCUGGUAUAAGACGCGACCAGACUCGGACGCCAUGACGGGUUUGGUGCAGAAGAACCUGGAGAACAACCUCACCACGCGUUAUAAGCGCUUCGUAAACCACACGUACGACGUGGGAGAGGACUUCUCUCUACUUUUCUCGCCCCGGUGGCCGCACGCCGAAUGCACCUUGUACUGCUGCAGCCUGUGGCCGCCACUGGGCCACCAGUUCCGGGAGAGCCAGUUCCUUUACCCGGAGGGUUGCGCCAGGCCCUUGUCGGACCUGCCAAUUACGGAGUCUCGUCUGUUGGCUGCGGAGAUGUAUGGAGCUGUAACAGUCUUGCUGCUGCUUUUCUUGGCUUUAAUAGCACUGCGUGCACAUCGCUCUUUGACGCAUGGUAAAAAAAAAAGCAAUCAUAUUUUUUUCCUUGUUGGGUCUAAUUAGUUUGCAUUAAAACACCUUAUUUUCACCUUAUUUGGAAGGGUGUUUUGUGUAUCUGAUGAUCACCAGAGGUCACUUGAGUUCACAUUUUCCUUGAGCAUUAUAAAUUCUACAACAGCCCGCAACCUUGGAGUAACAAUAGACAACCAACUCUCCUUCUCGACUCACAUCAGAAAUCUUUCCCACUCAUGUAGAUUCCUUCUCUACAAUAUCUGUCUCUACAAUCUGUCAACACAGGCCACCCAGAUACAGGUUCAGUCCUUAGUAAUCUCACGACUGGAUUACUGUAACUCCCUUCUAGCUGGUCUACCAACCUCUACAACUAAUACAGAAUGCAGCAGCACGACUGAUCUUUAACCUUCCCAAAUACUCCCACACCGCCCCUCUGCUACGUUCCCUCCACUGGCUCCCAGUAGCUGCACGCAUCAGAUUCAAAAUACUGAUGCUGGCCUAAAAAGCCAAACAUGGAGUAGCACCAUCCUACCUCACAGCCCUUAUUACACCUCGCACUGCACCUCGUAUACUCCGAGCCUCCAGUACUGCUCGCCUGGUCCCUCCAUCUCUGAAGGUACGAGGAAGACACUCAUCUAGACUCUUCUCUGUCUUGGCCCCUCGGUGGUGGAAUGAACAGUUCACUCACUGAGCACCUUCAAAUGGCAGCUCAAGACCUUCCUCUUUAGAGAAUAUUUAGAUUAACUUGUAACCUUCUUAUUGUCUGACUUAUGUAUAGAAACUACAACAGAGUGAAUAAAAAGAUUCUAUUCAUAGUUAGGGGUCCUAGU
ensembl:lncRNA